AUUGAACGCUGGCGGCAGGCCUAACACAUGCAAGUCGAGCGAGCGGCGCACGGGUGAGUAAUGUCUGGGAAACUGCCUGAUCGAGGGGGGUAACUACUGGAAACGCUAGCUAAUACCCCAUACCAUCAGAUGUGCCCAGAUGGGAUUAGCUAGUAGGUGGGGUACCGGCGCACCUAGGCGACGAUCCCUAGCUGGUCUGAGAGGAUGACCAGCCACACUGAAACGGAGACAGUGUCCAGGGUCCUACGGGAGGCAGCAGUGGGGAAGAUUGCACAAUGGGCGCAGGCCUGAUGCAGCCAUGCCGCGUGUAGGAAGAAGGCCUUCGGGUUGAAAAGCACUUUCAGCGGGGAGGCGUUACCCGCAGAAGAAGCACCGGCUAACUCCGUGCGAGCAGCCGCGGUAAUUC
rnacentral:rRNA from 1 species